rnacentral:lncRNA from 1 species
GUAAUGUUCAAACGAAAUAAGAUUUCCAAGUAAGAAAUAAGAAGUAAAACUGGGAGGGGGUUGUUUAGACAGAAGUUUUCUAAUUCUUUUGUGUCCCUUUUAGCAAAAGCUCUUCCUGUAACAAGCAGCUCUAAGACUUUGGUAGGAUGACAGAGAUACCCCUUCCCUGUGUGACAUGAGCUUGUCAAUGCAUGGUAGCAGAAUAUGAUGUAAAAGGAUAGAAAAUAAAAGUCAAGUCCCCCUUUCCAUUUACACAGAUGCACACAUCUCAAGAAAAAGACAACAUACACAUAGAAAGCAAAGCAGGUAGACUGUGUUUCUCGACACCCUCUUCUCCCACCCUUGAAAUGGACAAAGGACUGUGUGUUAAAAAGUGGAGAUAACCCUGAGGGGAGAAAGGGAUCUCCUGUCUUUAGCUCUCUGUCUGAGGCUCUGGGAGGUUCCAAGUCUGUGCCACUAAGAGGGACAGGCUUGACAGAGCAGGGUAAUUAGGCUGACAGGCCUGACUUCAGGUUUUCUGAAGCUGUCUUCUGUUUUUAUUCAAAAUUGAAGUUGGAAAUCCAACAGACCUGUACUAAUAACUUUCUGUGGAUAGCAGGUAUAUAAGUCAGGGUGCUCCAGAGCCAUAGAAACAAUAAGAGGUAAAUAUACAAGGAGAUUUAUUAUAGGACUUGGGUCAUACAAUCAUGGCUGAGAAGUUGUCUUUGCAACCUGGAGAAAACCAGGAAAGGUGUUGCUGUGACUCAGUACUAGACCAAACACCUGAAAACCAGGGGAGCUGAGAGUAUAAAUACGCCCAAGAUUCUAAUGUUCUGAGAAGUGGGAGCUCAAGUGUCAGAGGACAAGAGAAGAUGGAAGUCCCGGUUCAAGAAGAGAGAAUGGAUUCACCUUUUUGUUCUAUUGGUUUCUUGGAUUGAGGGAGACACAUUGGUUCUACAGGUUGAAGAGCUAACCUCUUCUGGAGACACCCUCACUAACACAACCAGAAAUACAGAUUUACCAGCUAUCUGGGAAGCCCCAAGCUCAGUCAAGCUGACAAAUUUACCCACCACAUUGGGUAAAAUGAUCCAAUAGAAGAUGGCAUUUUCACUAGGAAGAAGAAGCCAGUACAGAAGAGAGGGGAAGGGAAUAGACAAUUCUCCAAGAGUACUGUCCAGGCCAAAGAAUGGUUAGCAUUGGAAACAAGCAACAUGCUAACUUCUAGACAAUGAGAAAUGACACCUGGAGACCAGGAAUGGCAGAAGAUACCAUUUCCCGAGGUCUCUAACUCUUUCUUUUCUGCACAAGGUCAUAUAAACAGGUCACCGCUGUGCAUCCAGAUGUUAUCUUACAGAGGAAACAAGGAGGUGAUCAGAAAACCCCAAACUCUAAGACACCAACAAUAAUCUAAAGGGACCAGUUUAGUGACUGGAUCUGACUAAAGUUUUAAAGUAGCUAGCACUAAAAGUUAUUUUCUCCCUGCUAUCAGAAGACAGAUUAGAAUUAUAGAUAAAAUUUAAAAAUCAUUUUUUUUCCUCUGCACAUUAAGUUAUUGAGUUAGAAAAUUUGCAGCCACUAGGAUUUUAGGAUGCCAGACUAAACCUAGGGACGCAUGUCAUGCCAAGGUCAGAAAUAGAUGUAACCAUCAAAUGGGAGAAAUAACAUAAGUUAUAACAAGGACCUUUGCGAAUACUGAAAUCUAUCUGUCUAUCUAUCUAUCUAUCUAUGUAUUUGUACCAGGAAUUGAACACACAAGUACUUAACCACUAAACCACAUCCCAGCCCUUUUUUAUUUUUUAUUUUGAGACAGGGUCUCACUAAGUUGCUUAGGGCCUCACUACAUUGGUGAAGCUGACCUUGAGUUUGCAAUCCUCCUGCCUCAGCCUCCUGAAUUACUGAGAUUACAGGCCUGUGCCACCACCCUGGCUCUGAAAGUUUUAAAAGAUUAAUUGUUCUUGCAAAAAAAAAAGAAUAGCCUUAAGAUGGACCACCAAUUACUGGCAUGGUUCUUCUGAGACACUCCAGAGGUAAAGGUAGCACUCCAUAUCAGGGUCAGAAAGCACACGGGUAGUACUGCAGACACUGGACCCUGCUUAAGAAGCCCUGUGAGCUGUGUCAGAAUCACAAUGUUCCAGCAAAAGCUGGUUCAGCCAGUACCACCUAUUUUGUUUUGUAAUGAUGGAUCCAUAAUAUUUCUACAUAUUGAUGUGAUUCACAUACAUAAUUUGAAACAUUUUUAUAAUAUUUAUAGCCAAAUCAUGUCCACAUGUUGGAAACUUUGGUACACUUCUUUUCUAGUUAUUUUGAGAUUCAUCAUAGGUUAUUUUGAACAAUAUUUACCCGACUGUGCUAACCA